ensembl:processed_transcript
UUGUGGUGAGAGUCCCAUGAAUCCAAUUGAAGGUUUUGAUUGCUUCAUAUCAAUGUCCAAAAUCUUCCCUGCAGCUCCAGAACUUCCAAACCAUGAUACUACCAGGUGUUAACUGAGGUAUAAACAUGCCAUAUUUUCUUUCUUUCUUUUUUUUUUGAUUUUUUUAUCAGAUAUUUUCUUUAUAUACAUUUUAAAUGCUAUCCCGAAAGUUUCCUAUACCCUCCCUCUGCCCUGCUCCCCUACCCACUGACUCCUGCUUCUUGGCCUUGGCAUUCCUGUCUAGUGGGGCAUAUACAGUUUGCAAUACCAAGGGGCCUCUUCCCAGUGAUGGCCAACUAGGUCAUAUACUUAUACAGCUAGGGAUAUGAGCUCUGGGGAUACUGGUUAUUUCAUAUUGUUGUUCGACCUAUAGGGCUGCAGACCCCUUCAGCUCCUUGGGUGUUUAGCUUCUCCAUUGGGAGCCCUGUGUUCCAUCUUAUAGAUGAUUGUGAUCAUCCACUUCUGUAUUUGCUAGGCACUGGCAUAGCCUCAUAUGAGACAGCUAUAACAGGAUUCCUUCAGCAAAAUCUUUCUAGCAUAUGCAAUAGUGUCCGGGUUUGGUAGCUGAUUAUGGGAUGGAUCCCUGGGUGGGGUAGUCUCUGCAUAGUCCAUCCUUUGGUCUUAGCUCUAAACUUUGUCUCUGUAACUCCUUUCAUAGGUAUUUUGUUCCCUGUUCUAAGGAGGAAUGAAGUAUCCACGCAUUGGUCUUCCCUCUUGAUUUUCUUGUGUUCCACAAAUUGUAUCUUGGGUGUUUUGUGUUUCUGGGCUAAUGUCCACUUACCAGUGAGUGCAUAUCUAAUAAGUUAUUUUGUAAUUGGGUUACCUCACUAAGGAUGAUAUCCUCCAGAUACAUCCAUUUGUCCAAGAAUUUCAUAAAUCCAUUGUUUUUAAUAGCUGAGUACUCCAUUGUGUAAAUGUACCACAUUUUCUGUAUCCAUUCUUCUGUUGAGGGACAUCUCGGUCCUUCCCUGCUUCUCAUGCUUUAUUUUCUAGUCUCCAUGUUUUAGUCCAUGUCAACCUAGGUUGCUUCAUUAUCAGACUCCUCUAUCUCAUUAAAGAGUGUAAUUGUGCAAUUGGAAAAAGUUAGCCUCAGGUGGCAAUGAGAUCCUUAAUUGCAUAACAACAAAAGUUUUCAGCCAUAAAACUAUAUACACACACCCAACAGAAAUGGACUGAUCAGGUUUUAUUUUUAUAGCUGUGCAUCCCUAUCCAUAGAUACUUAACAAGGAAGAAUUUGGAAGAGAUGGAGAAAGGACAAGGAAGGUAGAAAGUGAUGAAACAUUUUUAUUAAAAUGUAAUAAAGUUAAAACAAAGAAAAAAGCUGCCAGGAAAAAUAGGAUAGUAGGUAAGAACCCUGGUUAUUGUUAUAGAAGACACAGUUUCUAUUCACAGAAAUGAGAAAGCUAGAGAAAGUAUCCAAGGAGCUAAAGAGAUCUGCAACCCUAUCGGUGGAACAACAUUAUGAACUAACCUGUACCCCAGAGCUCUUGACUCUAGCUGCAUAUGUAUCAAAAGAUGACCAAGUCGGCCAUCACUGGAAAGAGANAGGGGAGUGGGGGGGGGGACUUUUGGGAUAGCAUUGGAAAUGUAAUUGAAGAAAAUACGUAAUAAAAAAAAAAGAAAUCCUUGUGGUGGAAAAAAACAAACAAACAAACAAACAAAAAAACAAAAAACAAAAAAAAGAAAAAUGACGUGGUAGCUUAUCAUCUCAUGUAACAGCAUUCCCAAGGCAUCUCAUGGACUUUGUAGAUAUUGUGCUCAGACACAUGCAUGAAAACACCCAUAUACAUAAGAUAAACACUUAAAACAAUACAAUGAUGUCCUAGCCCUAAGUCAUGUCAUACACACAUACACACACACACACACACACACACACACACACACACAGGAUUUGCAUGAGGAAUCUUGCGCGCUCUCGACUGGCCAGGAAGAACGACGCUGCAACAGGAUCCUUCUGCACAAGCUUAUUGGGAGAGCUUGAUUGUAGAGGCAAAAAGACCUCGAGCCCAGAACUGGUGCUGCUUUUAUAGGCCUAGGAGGGGCGUGUCUCACACCCGGAUUGGUUAUGCACUAANAUGUCUCACAUCUGAUUGGUUAUACUCAGUACCUUACAGAACCUCAUUAUCAUGCCUGGGCCAGGCAGUGUCUUUGCAAAAAACUUUACUGCAUAUGUACACAUUCGUUGUUUGUCCAAACUUAUGCGUGGUGGCCAGCAGUAGUCAGCGCCACUCUGCAACGGCACAUGUGGCUUCGUGGGGCCAGAGGGAGCAGGGCCAGAGAGAGAAGAAAAAGUGUCUGAAAGCAGCUACAGUGUACUUACAUAUAAUAAAUAAAUUUUAAAAAAGUUUAAAAAAGGAAUUUUCUUUGGAUCAUCUUGAAUCUAUGCUGCAAAUUGAUGAUCUCCAACAUUGCUUUCGUUCUUUUUUUCCUGGAAGUACAUCAUUUUCAUGAUGCUUUUUACUGUAGUAUAAAAUGGUCAAAGAUAUUCUAUAUACUCAUUCAUUUAGUAAACAAUACAAAGUAGGUGAAUCUCACGCUGAUAUACAAUGAACAAUGCCAUAGAAAGAGGGCUUCAACAUAUAGUUAAGAUGUACAGAACAAAUUGUUAUGGUCACUUAAAAGCUAUCCCACUGUGUGCAAUUUUAUUGAGAAAAGAAUAACAACAACAAAAAGACAGGUGAAACCUGCUCCAGAAUUGAACAGUGAAUCUGAAUGUGACAUGGUAGUUGUGUUUGCAUACAAAAUAACCUCUGGUAGCAGUUGGGUGGGAUUUCAGCAGAUAUCAACUAAAACAAGUUAGAGCCAUGUGACAUUGUUAUAGUUUAUGUAAACUUGAACAUAUUUAGUGUAUGUACUCUGAUAUAUUUGGACAUGUUAUGCACACCCAUGUACCCAUAUUACCACAAACAGCACAGUUACCCAUGUUCUCAGUACCGUCUUAUUCUAUCCAUGUUUUUAUGUGUCUACAAUAAUCACAUUUUUCAUAAAAUGACAAAAUUUCUAUGU